GAUGAACUCUGGCGGCGUGCCUAAUACAUGCAAGUCGAGCGAAGCGGGGACGGGUGAGUAACACGUGGAUAACCUCCUAUAAGACUGGGAUAACUUCGGGAAACCGGAGCUAAACCGGAUGCUUAUAGAUGGAUCCGCGCUGCAUUAGCUAGUGGGUAAGGUAACGGCUUACCAAGGCAACGAUGCAUAGCCGACCUGAGAGGGUGAAGGGCCAGAGUGGAACUGAAACAGGGUCCAGACUCCGAGGGGAGGCAGCAGUAGGGAAUUUUCCGCAAUGGGCAAAAGCCUGACGGAGCAACGCGGCGUGAGUGAUGAGGGUCUUGGGAUGGUAAAACUCUGUUAGUAGGGAAGCGGUACCGAAUCAGAAAGCCACGGCUAACUACGUGCCAGCAGCCGCGGUAAUAC
rnacentral:rRNA from 1 species